rnacentral:rRNA from 1 species
GCUUGUCUCAAAGAUUAAGCCAUGCAUGUCUAAGUAUAAACAACUCGUACUUGUGAAACUGCGAAUGGCUCAUUAAAUCAGUUAUAGUUUAUUUGAUGGUAUUUUUUUCUUACUUGGAUAACCGUUUGAAAAUAGAGCUAAUACAUGCCUAGAAACCUGACCGUAAGGAAGGGUUGUAUUUAUUAGAUAAAAAGCCGACAUUACUUCGGUGAAUCAUAAUAACUUUGCGAAUCGCAUGAGCUUGACUCGGCGAUGCUUCAUUCAAAUUUCUGCCCUAUCAACUUUCGAUGGUAGUAUAGAGGACUACCAUGGUGAUAACGGGUAACGGGGAAUUAGGGUUCGAUUCCGGAGAGGGAGCCUGAGAAAUGGCUACCACUUCUAAGGAAGGCAGCAGG